UAGUCGCACGAGUUUAGACCCGUGGCAUAUACGCUCAGUAACACGUGCCCUUUCUACCCUACAGACCGCGAUAACCUCGGGAAACUGAGGCCAUUUGAGGAUAUCCUUCUCACGCUGGAUUGCCGAGAGUAAGAAACGUUCCGGCGCUGUAGGAUGUGGCUGCGGCCGAUUAGGUAAAUGGGGGGGUAACGCCCCACCAUGCCAAUAAUCGGUACGGGUUGUGAAAGCAAGAACCGGAAGACGGUAUCUAAAACAAGAUACCGGGCCCUACGGGGCGCAGCAGGCGCAAAACCUUUACACUGCACAACAGUGCGAUAGGGGGACUCCAAGUGUGAGGGCUUAUACCCCUCUUUUUUCUGUACCGAAAGGUGGUACAGGAACAAGGACUGGGCAAGACCGGUGCCAGCCGCCGCGGUAAUACCGGCAGUCCAAGUGAUGGCCAAUAUUAUUGGGCCUAAACCGUCCGUAGCUGGCUGAACAAGUCCGUUGGAAAAUCAACCCCCUCAAUUGGUCGGCGUCCGGAGAAAACUGCCCGGUUUGGGGCCAAAAAACCCAAGGGGUACGUCCGGGGUAGGAGUAAAAUCCUGUAUUCCUGGACGGACCACCAAUGGGAAAACCACUUCAAGAGGACGGACCCGACGGUGAGGAACAAAAGCGAGGUUCUCCAACCGAAUUACAUACCCGGGUAGUCCUGGCUGUAAACAAUGCUCGCUAG
rnacentral:rRNA from 1 species